UGAGAGCUUUGUGAUAGUAUGCUGAAUGACACUAGGGACGUUGGACACACAUAUGGACCCAUUUAUACUCUGAGAAUUUACAGCACAGACUCGGAACGAGCACGGAGUCCUGUUGGUUGCCUGCAUGUGAGAAGGGGAGGAUGGAGCGGAGGGAGAGAGCCCCACUGAUCCAGAGAGAGAGUGUGUGUAAGCAGAGCACUGAGACAGGUGCAGUGCUGGUGUAAGUCGGUCCAGAGCCCAGCCCUGUGUUUAAGCUGGGCACGCAGUCAAGAGAGGAGGCA
rnacentral:lncRNA from 1 species